UAAAUAUCCCUCUCUUUGGUAAUUUAUCGUAAUCAGGGUUCUCAAUAACUUUUGAGCCAACAGGCCCAAAUGUGAAACCAACAGGCCUUCAAGGGGGGUCCGGGGGACAUGCUCCCCCUGAAAAAUUUAAAAUUGAGCACUUGAUUUCCUGCAUUGUGGGCUAUUUUAUGGCUAUUGAAGUGGUCAACCAGGCACUUAAAUUUGAGCAUUUUUGUGUGCAUUUGAUGAAUUUUAGCUUUUUUAACUAACAAAAGAUAAAUGGAAAAACCUCUUUAUUACUUUUGUAAAAUUUUAACUCAACAUGUAAUGAACAGAACGUCAAAAUAUUUUACUGCUUUUUGACUGAUUCCAAUAUGCACCUUUUCAUUGUUGUUUUUUGUUGUAAUGCGUUAAGGGAGAUAAUGAAGCGUCUUUGCUUAAUAGCAAAUAGGAGCAAACUUUCUGAAAAGACAAGCAAAUUUCGAAAAGUCAAUUGCCGAUUUUCCAAAUCUGAGCGAUUUUUAAACGGCAAAUAUCUGAUUUCAAACGUCCGAUUUGGCUGGCGACGGACUCUUAUUGAGAACCCUGAUUGUAAUGCUGUCACUUUAGAUUACUCUUAAUUCCAAUCCAUCAAAAAUUUAGUUCAAUUUGCAUCAAAACUAAUGUAAGCAAGUGCUAAGAGUUAGAAAUGUAGGAUUGUUUUUAUGCCCCCCUUCGAAGAAGAGGGGGUAUAUUGCUUUGCACAUGUCCGUCUGUUGGUCCGUCGGUCUGUCGGUCGGUCUGUCAGUCGGUCCGUCCACCAGGUGGUUUCCGGAUGAUAACUCAAGAACGCUUGGGCCUAGGAUCAUGAAACUUCAUAGGUACAUUGAUCAUGAAUCGCAGAUGACCCCUAUUGAUUUUGAGGUCACUAGGUCAAAGGUCAAGGUCACGGUGACCCGAAAUAGUAAAAUGGUUUCCGGAUGAUAACUCAAGAACGCUUAGGCCUAGGAUCAUGAAACUUGAUAGGUAGAUUGAUCAUGACUCACAGAUGACCCCUAUUGAUUUUCAGGUCACUAGGUCAAAGGUCAAGGUCACAGUGACCCGAAAUAGUAAAAUGGUUUCCGGAUGAUAACUCAAGAACGCUUAUGCCUAGGAUCAUGAAACUUCGUAGGUAGAUUGAUAAUGGCUGGCAGAUGACCUCUAUUGAUUGUCAGGUCACUAGGUCAAAGGUCAAGGUCACGGUGACCCGAAAUAGUAAAAUGGUUUCCGGAUGAUAACUCAAGAACGCUUAUGCCUAGAAUCAUGAAACUUGAUAGGUACAUUGAUCAUGACUCGCAGUUGACCUCUAUUGAUUUUCAGGUCACUAUAUCAAAGGUCAAGGUCACGAUGACCUGAAAUAGUAAAAUGGUUUCCGGAUGAUAACUCAAGAACGCUAAUGGCAACGAUCAUGAAACUUCAUAGAUACAUUGAUCAUGACUCGCAGAUGACCUUUAUUGAUUUUGAGGUCACUUGGUCAAAGGUCAUGGUGACCCAAAUUGUAAAAUGGUUUCCGGAUGUUAACUCAAGAACGCUUUUGCCGAGGAUCAUGAAACUUUAAAGGUACAUUGAUCAGGACUCGCAGAUGACCCCUAUUGAUUUUUAGGUCACUAGGUCAAAGAUCAAGGUCACGGUGACCCGAAAUAGUAAAAUGGUUUCUGGAUGAUAACUCAAGAAUGCUUAUGCCUAGGAUCAUGAAACUUCAUAGGUAUAUUGAUCAUGACUCACAGAUGACCCCUUUUGAUUUUCAGGUCACUAGGUCAAAGGUCAAGGUCACGGUGACUCAACUUAGAAAAAUGGUUUCCGGAUGAUAACUCAAGAAGGCUUACACCUAGGAUCAUGAAACUAAAUACGUACAUUGAUCAUGACUCUCAGAUGACCCCUAUUGACGUUCAGGUCACUAGGUCAAAGGUCAAGGUCACGGUGACUUUACACAGUAAAAUGGUUUCAGGAUGAUAACUCAAGAAAGCUAAUACGCCUAGGAUCAUGAAACUUCAUAGGUACAUUGAUCAUGACUCACAGAUGACCCCUAUUGAUUUUUAGGUCACUUGGUCUAAGGUCAAGGUCACAGUGCAAAAUAAUGUAUUCAUACAAUGGCUGCCACUACAAUUGACAGCCCAUAUGGGGGGCAUGCAUGUUUUACAAACAGCCCUUGUUUCAUACUGGAAAUAGUGUAUUACUGUUGAUGUUUAUAAACUAUAGUAAGUGGUUGAAUAGCAUGGGAAUACAUUUUUACUUAAAAUGAUUUUGAAAUUAUAUUUUUUUUCAAAUUUAGCAUUUUCCCUGUGUUGUAACUCAAAAUAAGUUCAAAAUAUAAAAAAAAUAUGAAAGUUAAUGUUGAUUACCGGUAUACCAUUCCAUUUGUAAAAUAUUGUUAUUUUGAACUCACAUUAAGAAAUUUAUGUCUUUAUCAAAAGUAUUAAGAAAAAUAAAAUGUUUUUUGCUUCUCCUGUAAAUUUUUCAAAAAGUGAGAUACAUUAUAGUCUUGCAUGGAGCCCAUUCCAGAAUGUAUAAAUAGAUUAUCGCAAUUUUGUCAGCCAAGUGACUGUCCGCCAUUAUACACUGCUGCAAAAUUUGGCGAAUCUGCGAUUCCAAAAGCCACCAACCAACCAAGAAAAAAGCUUGUCUUCAAAUGUCCGGAGAAUAUCUUGAUUAACCUCCACCUGACGGAGGUUAGCAUAUGAAGACUUCAUGGACUAUCUCAUUUUGUCUAAAGCCUACGAUGGGAAGAUGAUGAAAUCCAUCAGCGCCUUUUAUGGGUAAAAUUAUAUUCUGAAUGGCUUGAUGGCUGAAAUUUAUUCGUGCACAUCUAAUUGUGUCUUCUUUUUGAAAUCAACUAUAUCACCAAGACAACCUGGUAUUGGAAGAAAUUACUAUGACACAUGGGUGGCUGUGUCUACAGACUCUACAGUCUUUACGGGUUACUGUACUUGUCCAGCUGGAAAAGGAAGAACUUGCAGCCGUAUAUCUGCAGUCAUAUGUGCCGUAACACUUGCUUGGACUCAUGGAGUAGCAGGAAAAACAUGUACAGAUGAACAGGUUGCUUGGGGAAAAGAAGUACAAAGUUCUCCAUAUUGACAGUACUAAGCCAGUGUCGGGAUCCUUGUCAUGCGAGCAGUGCCAUGUCACAUUUUAAAAGUAUGUGUGCUUAGACAAUUUUAAGAUCAAUCCAACAGAAGACAGAAGCACAAAACUCAGACAUGUGGAUAGACAGAGAGUUAAGGAUUACCUCAAGUCAUGUCAUGAUGCACUACCUUUAACAGGCCGUGCUGAUCCCAACAAGUUUGUUGUCAGUCAGUUAUACAACCGGUUCAAGGGAUCUGUGGCUACUCAACAUGGACAAAAAUUUAAACCGGUGGCACGGCAAUUGUUUGGAAAAAACUUGUUGAAAACUGUUUGUCGAUAUGGACUUGUGAUUUGUCAACAAGAACCUUACAUUGCGGUGAGCCCAGAUGGAUUGAUUGACACGAUUGUGAGAUCAAAUGCCCAACAAAACCUCUUUAGAACUAAUUCAUGUCUGGAAAGUAUGAUGUUGUGCUAAAGGAUGAAAAGCCAUACUUAGACCCCAAAUGAAAAAAUGGAUUCUAAACCCAAGUUCAGGUAGCAAUGUAUUGCACAUAAUUAAAGGCUUUUCUGUGUAAGUUUAUGAUAUGAACAAAUGAGUAUCAAAUUGUUACUGAAAUGUCUUUUGAGGAAGAAUUUGUCAACCUGUUACUGCUGCACAUCAGGAUAUUCUACUUCAAGCAUUUGCUUGUUUGAUUGAGGAAUUAAGGUCCAACAGAUUGAAGGUUUCCUCUGCGUACAAUGAACUUUGUAAAUAAGCUACAUGUGCAAGCUGAUAAAUGUCUAGCAAACGUUGAAAGACUUUUGUUCCUAGAAAAAGAUAUGACAAUGAACAAAUAUAUAUUAACCAUACUUUUUAUUUCAAGUGUUCAUGGACAAUAUUUGGCUCAUUGCCGAUACAUAAGCAUUAUAACAUAAAUAACUAAAAAUGCUGCUUUUGAUAAAGCAGAGGACCUUGUGGAGAUUGUGUAGUUGGUUGAUUAUAUAUACCAUCAGGGUAAUCUGUCAGUGCAUUGUCUUUUUGUUGUCCCCUACCAGUUUCACCGGAGGGGACUUUAUGGUUUGCGCUCUGUGCGUCUGUCUGUCUCACUUUUCUGGAUCCUGCGAUAAUUUUUAAAGUUCUUAAUAUUUAUUCAUGAAACUUGAAACAUGGAUAGAUGGCAAUAAGGACAGUCAAUGCACGUCAUUUCUUUGUGUUCCUACGUGAAAAAUUCUGGUUGCUAUGGCAACAAAUAAAAAAAUAUACAUUUUUGACAAUGGUGGAGCCCGUAGGGGACAUAUAUUGCUUGGCAAUAGUCUUGUUGUUUUUGUCGUCUGCCUGGUACUUGACCAUGGUCACAUUAAAUAAGAAAUACAGAUGAAAACUUAUUCAAAUUGAUACAUAAAUAUUCUAUGACAAGACUACCAUGUGAGGAAUCCAGAUAAAUAUUCACAAGUUUGAAUUUGAAUUGUUGGGAAAGUAGUUCUUAAAACUUAACGCAUGCCUUUGCCCACUAACAAAGCAGCAUACUGUUGCAUUUCUUUAAUAAGCUUAUUUUGGACAUUUAAUUAUGCUCAAGUUGGAAGUAAUGAAUACUUCUGUAAUCUUAUUGUUGGUCUCACACUCUUCAGGUGUAGGCCAUCUCUCCCAUGAGUACCUCUUCAUUUCUGCAAAUUGGUUUAAAUCUCUUAAUUUCUGCAAAUUGCCAUAAAUCAUGGUCACUUCAGUCUGCAAAUUUCCGAAAUUUCAUGUGUGUAGUUGGUUAAUUAUAUUUACCCUCUGGGCAAUCUGUCAGUGCAUCCUCUUUUUGCUGUUUUUGUUGUCUGCCUGGAACUUGACCAUGGUCAUCUUAAAUUAGAAAUGAAGAUGAAAACUUAUUCAAAUUGAUACAUUACUAUUCUAUGACAAGACUACCAUGUGAGGAAUCAAGUUAAAUAUUCACAAGUUUGAAUUUGAAUUGUUGGGAAAGUAGUUCUUAAAACUUAACGCAUGCCUUUGCCCACUGACAAAGCAGCAUACUGUUGCAUUUUUUUAAUAAGCUUAUUUUGGACAUUUAAUUAUGCUCAAGUUGGAAGUAAUGAAUACUUCUGUAAUCUUAUUGUUGGUCUCACACUCUUCAGGUGUAGGCCAUCUCUCCCAUGAGUACCUCUUCAUUUAUGCAAAUUGGUUUAAAUCUCUUAAUUUCUGCAAAUUGCCAUAAAUCAUGGUCACUUGGUCCAGAAAAAUGCAUACAGUCUUAUUUGAAUAGUAUUUAAAGGGGGUUUUGGGGAGAAAAAAUUGAGGAGAAAACAAAUGGAUGCUUUAAAAUAAUAUAUACUAUUGAAAACUUGUGCCUUGAUAUCAACACUUUAAUGUUUUAAAUAUAAUUUUCAUUACUGAUCAUAAUAGUGUAUUUCUAAGUGUACUUUCUUGAAUAAAUGUGUGAUUGUGAAAUAAAAUUUG